rnacentral:rRNA from 1 species
AUUGAACGCUGGCGGCAGGCUUAACACAUGCCAGUCGAGCGGAGCGGCGGACGGGUGAGUAAUGCUUAGGAAUCUGCCUGGUAGUGGUGGAUAACGUCCGGAAACGGGUGCUAAUACCGCAUACUAUUAGAUGAGCCUAAGUCGGAUUAGCUAGUGGGUGGGGUAAAGGCCUACCAAGGCGACGAUCUGUACCUGGUCUGAGAGGAUGAUCAGUCACACGGGGACUGAGACACGGUCCAGACUCCUACGGGAGGCAGCAGUGGGGAAUAUUGAACAAUGGGCGAAAGCCUGAUGCAGCCAUGCCGAGUGUGUGAAGAAGGCCUUAGGGUUGUAAAGCACUUUAAGUUGGGAGGCGUUACCGACAGAAUAAGCACGGGAUAACUUCGUGCCAGCAGCCGCGGUAAUAC